rnacentral:rRNA from 1 species
UACGUAGGGUGCGAGCGUUAAGUCGGAAUUACUGGGCGUAAAGCGUGCGUAGGCGGUUCGUUAAGUUCGUUGUGAAAGCCCCGGGCUCAACCUGGGAAUGGCAAUGGAAACUGGCGGGCUAGAGUGUGGCAGAGGGGGGUGGAAUUCCACGUGUAGCAGGUGAAAUGCGAUAGAGAUGUGGAGGAACACCGAUGGCGAAGGCAACCCCCUGGGCUGACACUGACGCUCGAUGCACGA